UGUUAGUAUAACGCCACGGGCCACGUUUCUGGAGAGCGGAAUGCGGUUGAGCCGCAGCGGUCCCGCCACUGUAACCGGGGAUGAAAGCAGCAAGUUGCCAUUGCUCCCUGAGAGUGAGAAGGCGUUGUGAGUAAUUAGAUCCGGAAGCCAGGAAACCCUCCUGAAACGAUUAACCUUC
rnacentral:ncRNA from 2 species